GCGCAGAUAGCGUCCCAGUUCUCCUGGUGACAUGCGAUACGAGGCGCGCGCCCGGCCCGCGUCCCCCUGCCAGCAGUUUGCCCGUUCAGCGUCGGCGUCGAAUAAGCUGCCCACCUGCCGGGAGCCGCUUCUGCAGCGCGCGCCUGGAAUCCAAUCUUCACUGUGAAAAAAAGUGCUGCAGUCGCCCUGGGCCACGGUGGCGGCCACGCCACGCCACACCAUGAACAACAACAAGAACAACAUCAUCAACAACAACAACAUCAACAAACUGUCGAAGGGAGGAUGAAAUGAGAAGAAAAAUGGAUGACCACGUGCCCACGUCCCAGCCUCAAGGUCAGACGCUCCCUGACGGAUACGUGACUACGGCAGGUUGACUUAACCGGACAAGAGUUUUUCUCCUGUGAGUAACCUGAAAAGAUUGAGCGUUUACCGCAAAUGGUCGAACUCCGAUCGGUGAGAGUAUUUGUUUUCAAAUUUAAACUGGGUACAAUGCUCCCUCCAAACUGGCGACAACCUCGUAUUUUAUACCCUCUCUCAUUUUCAACUUUGUCCACUAUUUGAAAACCAUUCGAACCAGUGCAGAUUUGACGCUCUUGAUCUGCUGACCUGCACUCCCCUGCGCGUCUCUGCUGUGCUGACAGCGGAAUAGGGGACUCAUUUGAAAGCGGCGCAUCCGCGAAAAGAAGAACCACAACGCUUCGAUUUAAUA